AGAAGCGUGUCAAGCGGCGGACCAGCGAAGCACAGCAGGACCGCGUCGACCUCAGGGUCUGCAUCCUCGAGGACUCUGAGAUCAGCGUCCUCUCGUCCAGCGUGUUUCAGAAAUACCCGCUUCAGGACCUGCAGUGUCCUCUCGGCCUGCAGGAGGCGGACUUCUUGAACCUGCUGAGGUCCACCUUCCCUCAACUGGCUGCUGAUAAACCUUUUGACAUCUUCACCACCAACAAGGGCAGGAAACUGCAGCCGCUCAGUGUGGAGACGCUGACACCGGAGCACAUCUACAGCGGCAUCAGGUCCACGGGACAGUCGGCCCUCUACAUCCGACUGAAGAACGUGUCACCGAACAAAUCGUCUGGAUAUCAGACUCUGCAGUCCGCUGAUGAAGAGCUUCAGCCGCCACAGACCGAAGCUGCUGAAUCUCAAACUGGACUCACGAGGU